GGAAAAACUCCGAAAAAUUAAACUAUGUUGGAUUUCCUGGCUUGAGAUCAGCCGCCGAGAAAAUGCCAAUAUUUUUGCCUCGAUCAUCUAUGAGCUCGUACGAGCUGCAUCCUCUCCGGGAAACGAUCGUACAUGGCGUAUACAACGGACCUAAUUUAGCGUUGUACGAGUUGGCUGCCGAGGAUUGAGUGAAAUUCCUUUUGAAAACUCUUUGGCCUACCUUAUAAACUGGGGCCGUUUUUUGACUACGAAGGUUAACUCUCGUCGAUGUCCGGAUCACAAAGAUGAUCUUCGCCACUUACGAGUGAUUCGUGACCAAACAAUAUUUUGUGGGGUGUGAAAUUCGUGGAAGAAUGGACUGUAUUGUUUAGGAUAUACUCGACUUCAGAGAUUUUUGUGUCCCAAAGACGUUGAUCCAUUUUAACGUACGUCCGGAUACACGAAUUGAUGUUCCUAUUGACCCGUUCUACGGGGUUGGCCUGACUGUGGUACCGCGAAUUAGUCCAGUGCUGGACUUUAUAGUGCCCUAAAAAGGACUUGAACUCUUUACUCAGGAAACAGGAUUUUAAUGACGGAUGUUGAGGAAAUCUUUUUGACCGGAAAUAAAAGUGUCCAUUUCGAGAAUAAAUCGAGGAGAACCAGGAGAUGCAUGUUUCCAGAUUUAGAGCGAGGCAACGUCUGGAUAAAAUCCAUAGCCAGAAUCUGAAAAGGCUUCGUUACCAAGCGCUGAUUCCCCAUUGGAGGAUGCUGCGACACAUAUGACGGUUUACAUUCCCUACAUGUCUGACAUUGCGAAACGUACUUUUUA